GAUGAACGCUGGCGGCGUGCUUAACACAUGCAAGUCGAACGGAAAGGCCCUGCUUGCAGGGUACUCGAGUGGCGAACGGGUGAGUAACACGUGGGUGAUCUGCCCUGUACUUUGGGAUAAGCCUGGGAAACUGGGUCUAAUACCGAAUAUGACAAUUGUUUGGAUGCGAUUGUGGAAAGCUUUUGCGGUAUGGGAUGAGCUCGCGGCCUAUCAGCUUGUUGGUGGGGUAAUGGCCUACCAAGGCGUCGACGGGUAGCCGGCCUGAGAGGGUGUACGGCCACAUUGGGACUGAGAUACGGCCCAGACUCCUACGGGAGGCAGCAAUGGGGAAUAUUGCACAAUGGGCGCAAGCCUGAUGCAGCGACGCCGCGUGGGGGAUGACGGCCUUCGGGUUGUAAACUCCUUUCGCAACCGACGAAGCCUUUUGGUGACGGUAGGGUGAGAAGAAGCACCGGCUAACUACGU
rnacentral:rRNA from 1 species